UAGUACAGGAGCUGUGUCUGUGUUGUACUGUAAUUACUGCUCAAAGCACUUAGCUACUGCUAAUUCAUUCUCACUACAAAAUCAAGCCUUCAGUUUGUUCUCUUUUCUCCGUGUGUGCUUUCAAACAAAAGAAAUCGGCCCAAAGUUUUGCUGACUCAUUAGAAAACCAGCCCUGCGCUAUGGAAGCAUGAUCAAACAAACACCAGAGGCUGCUCCGGGGACUCUGUGUGGAAGGCACAGAUCCCUUCUCUCUGCGCUCCCACUCCUGCAGCUUGCCAGGGACUAACACAGGAGCUGCAGUGUUCCGGGCCCUGCCCCUGGGGACAGCAAGUCCUCCUGCCCAAACCAUGGGCAUGGCGAGGUGAAAACACUGUGUGAGGGCAGAUCUUCAGUUAGAGAAGCUGGCGCUUCACCCACGGCUGGAGAGCACCCAAGGCUCUAGGGUCAGACAGUGCCAACAUUUUAAUGAUGGAAGAAGAAGAAACCAGGCCCAGCCAGUCUGUGCAGCACUGAAAGGUGUUAGCACUGUGGAGACAGCAAGAAGCAGUAGGUGACUCUUGCCACAGGCCUCACGCUGAAACAUGAGUAGGUUCGUACGGGCCUAACUUCACAAACAAAGAAGGGAGAGCUGUGGGUCAGCCCGAGGCGUGGCUGGGGGCACCCAUGGUGGACUGCUUGGGGAAGGAAUGGCUGGGAGAGCACUCAAUCCAGCCCUCCUCAGCCGCGGGAUGCUGUGCCACAGAAGCCUCUCCACCAAGAGAGGGCCGAACGCCUGUGGUCCCACCCACAGGCCUGCCCCACUCAGCCCUGUGGAUGUACUCAGGUUUGUAAAGGGUAUUACCAGUAUUAAAAACCUCAGCUCCUCCAGCUUCUUUGCACAGAGGAUGCUCCUUUAUGUUUAGCUCAAACUGAGCAAAGAACUAUUAAGUUUUCUUCUUUCAUAUUGCCUUAAUUCCUUGUAGAUUUUUUGCUUUUUAUUUCUCUUUCCAUUUUUUCCUCUUUUAGAAAGGAGAGAACAGAUGCUAGUCAUGUCAGCAAAUCACUCCCAGGUGCGUGUGCUUGUCAUGACAGGCAGUUCUAACCCCAAACAGCAGCAGCGAGAGCCUAUCAACCUGAUUACAACUCAGAGACCUCAAGCUAAUUAAUGAGCUGCACGGCCAAUCUGCCAAAAUCUGUGAGCCUGCAAGCACAGCUCCAACAUUUUGCAGUGGUAAUGAGAAUAUUGAGGCUGUUUUCUAUUGUGACUCUGCACUCUAAGGUGAUAUAGAAAAAUCUGAAUCCAGAACUUGCUGCAGAACAAACCUGGUGUUAAACAUGGACCAAACUUUGCAGGGAUGCCGUGUAGUAAACAAAUCCUGGAAAAAUGAAGUGAUGCUGUGAAUGGGAAAGCAUAGCUAUUAUGCUACUGGCAGAAAAUCUGAGUGGACAUCUGUAUGCACUUCAGUCUUACACCUCCUUUGUCAAUGCUCUUAGCAAACAGGAUCAAUUACAACUCCCUGAUACAUGCAAGGCAGAUGAAUAACUUCCUGUCCUGUGAGAAGACCCCUUUUGCUUUGCAGGCUACUGAUACACUGAAAGAGAUGGUCCAGGCUUUGCAAAACAAGUAGGGAAAUUUUUCUAAGAGUCUACAGGUAGGCAACAGAGAGAGAGAGAUGGAGGUAGGAAAGGAUGAGAGAGAAACUAAAGCAUUUAUGGUGAAAUAACUGUGAAGGCAGACCAUGUUCAGAAUAAAGCAGAAGUGGUAUUCUUUUAUCUUGCUUAAUAGAGGAAAGCAAACUCUUCUCUUUGAUAAAAUUAAUGGUAAAAUUCUCUGCCAUGGCACGUUAAUAAAGUACCACUGAACACACACUGUAUAUCAAGGCAUGACUCUCACUGGGCCUUCUUACAGGGCUGACAACCCUAGUCCCUAGCUACUUUUGUCUUUGUCUUUUGUGUUGUGUCAGAAAUGCAUGGUUUUCUAUUAAAAAUCUACAGCUCUUCACAUCCUGUAUUUGAUACUGGAAAAUGUAAAUAAAGAAGCAGUAUUAGUCCUUUAUGAAAACUAUACGUUAUGAAAGGCACUCCCUGAAGAAUGCUGCUGCUUUGAGGAACAGGCAUGUAGAUGUUUUUUGGUUUUGCUACAUUUGUGAUUUUUUAUAUAGAAAAACACAUUUUGAGAUGUGUUUUGUAAUUUCAGUAAAAAAACAUCUUGGGUUAUUUUGACUGAACUUUUUUUUUUUUUUUGGUACAUUUUCAGAGGAAAAAAAUAGACAAUUAUAUUGGAAAUAAUGAGGGAGACUGUGUUUUUCUUCAAGGUAACUGUUCUAAGCUGAAGUUGGAAAAGGAGGAGAGUGACAGAAACUGCAUCUUUUUGAAUCACUCGUAUUUUGAAUUGCUUUCCAAAUAUCCUAGCUUCUAAGCCGGUAUGAAUACAUUUAAGAUGGAUCUUCAAAGGUGCUUUUUUCCUGAUAUGUUUGAUAAGUCUGCUCUUUGUGAUUUAGUAAGCCACCUUACAUUAGAUUUAAGUAUAGUUUUGUAUUGCUGGUGUGGAAUGUAAUUACUAAAAGAGCAUUGGAAA